UAUGAUUUUAUAACUGAGUUGUUUUGUUCAGAUUUGCAGCAAACAUCAUCUGCGGCCUCCUGUCCAGUAAAAUAUUUUGUGAGCGUGACUGGAGACGCACAGGAGCAUCAUGUGCACUUUAUAAAAGCUCUACAGAAAAAUAUUAAUCUGAAGGAGGUUCCUACAGUGGAAGGCAGUGAUGUCAUUCUGCUUUUCUGUCCUGACAUCAGCGGGUGUCAUAAGAGAACAGACAGGCCUGUUGUUCUCAUUUCUCUCCAUCAAACACUGGACCCAGAAAAUCCAAAGAGACGGGUUGUUUUCCCAGUGAACUAUAUUUUACGUGAUGGUGAAGGUCUUAUUGAAUGCCAAAUAAACAAUGCUGAAAUUUCUGCAGUCUCACGCUGGAUAAAGGACAAGGAACAACAAGCUUCAAGAAAGAAUACAGAGAAUCCAUCUUCUCCAGUUCCUCCGGCAUUCACUUCCUCUCAUCGUGUUAGUUAUUUCACCAAUUUGACUGGAGAUGUAAAGAAGCAUCUUAUUCACUUUAUAUAUGAUAAAUUGGAUCAGAUUUGUCUGAAUGAGGUUUCCUCAGUGGAAGACAGUGAUGUCAUUCUGCUCUUCUGUCCUGACAUCAGUGACUGUAACAAGAGAACAGACAAGCCUGUUGUGCUCAUUUCUCUCCACAAUACACCACCUUCAUAUUCUGUCCCAAGCAGCAAUGAAUUUGUCAACAGACGAGAUAUUGUGCCAUUAGACUGUAUUUAUGUUGAGGGUCAAGGACUGCCUGACUGUAAAAUUAACCAAGAUGAAUUUUCUGUAUUCUCACAGGUUCUGAGCACUAAGAUCAUCAAAGGACAAGUAAUGGAAUGAAACAGGAUCAAUACACCUGUCGCUCUGUCCACCAUUCAGAAAGAUCCUGUGAAACUGACAGCUACAUACAUCAUCCCCCUCUCUACUGAUGAAAUGCCUUUUAGCUUGUGUGUAUCAGUUGUUAAAUAUACUGUAUAGAUGUUUUUCAGCAGUCCUUCAGCAUUUGGAAUCCUCUAGACGUCUGAGAAAAGCAUAAUUCACAACUCCUACUGGUUACUAUGCAAAUUUCUUUAAAUGAAUGACCUAAAAUAUGUUUACAAAAGCAGUAAAACUCUCCAUCCUAUUGCAAGGCAAAGCUCAUGUAUAACCAUGAAACUAAAUGUUCAGUACCACUGUUUAAUGCAAUGUCUAAUGUUAAUGGUGAGGCAAAUAUAAUUAAUUUGGUCUCUCUGUGUAUUUCAUUGAGAUUUUCACUGAAGUGUUUCAGUGUUAAUUAAUUUUACUGUAAUCUGCAUGAUGUAUUGAUAGAUUAUGUCUGCUACUGUGCCUUUACUCUAAAUCUUAGCCUGUAAUAA
ensembl:lncRNA